GCAGGUUGUUUGCAAAGGUCAAGCUCCCAGGCUGUUGCUGCAGCAGCUAACAUUUCUCAGCUGUUCUUGGCUCAGUCCUCAAGAUACACAAUCAGAAGGAAGAAGAUUUGCCUUAUUUUUUUGUUUUGUUUCAUUUGAAAGUAGACAGUUGCAAAAAAAAAAAAAA